rnacentral:lncRNA from 1 species
AAGGACAGAGUACUUGACGAUGGAGAAAUGAGUUCGGGUGGUCAAGUUACGGGCCAAGAAGGGAACAACUCGGUGGAACAAAGGAGUGAUCCAAAGGAUGAUGUUUCUGCUGGUGAAUCCUUUCUUAGAAUGGAGGAUCACAAACGGCAAACUGAAACCUUGUUACAAAGAUUCAAGAACUCCCAUUUUUUUGUUCGGAUUGCAGAGUCAGAUGAGCCACUCUGGUCGAAGAAAGCUGGCCAAAACCGUCUGUUGGCUGACAUGGAUGAUCAGAUCUCCUUUGGAAGUGGAACUGGAAAGGUCAAACCUCAUCUCAAUGCUCUCAUAGAUAAAGGAAAUUUUGACGCCAAUGUUGCCGGUGGAGCUGCCAGGAACAGUGUUAACUGUUGGUCUCUUUCCAAUGGAGAUGUAGUGGUAUGUGUUUGAAUGCAUUUUGGUUCAAAGUCUAUGACUUGCGUGUGUAAAUAUUGUGCCAAGUUUUGCUGCUAUAUUUUGGAAGUUUGGUGUCUGUCGUUGAGAAUAUGAAUUGUCUGUGUUUGAUAUGUUACCGUAUGUCUUCUCUUAUAUGAUAAAAGUACAUGAAAUCUGAAAUAAUGUUUUAUGUGGACUCUGAACAUCGGUUUACUCAUACUAGUGAGAUCAACCAUUCUAACCUCAAUAUUAUGUUAGAUGCACCAUCUCAAUUGUCUGUAGUAAUUGUUUAUUUAACUGUCGUUUCUCAAUUGCCCUCUUUGUUUGGAAGGAUACAGGUGCUUCUACAAGUUAAUGUUGGCACUCAUAUUCUUAGAGAUCCUGUGAUUGAGAUUCUUCAGUUCGAGAAACAGAUCAGAAAUCUAUCUCCCCAUCAACCAGGUAGUCUGGUUUUUGCUCAUCCUGACCCAUAUGGACAACUGCUAAAAUGGUUGCUUCCGUUGGAUAAUGCUUUAUCUCCGCCACCACGUGCUUUAUCGCCACCCAAAAGAACUCCUAUCCCAGUCACUCCUCCCACAACUCAGAAGCCUGUGCCUUCCGGUUCACAGCUGUUCUCUAGUUUUAGAAGUUACUCUAUGUCUUCACUGCCGCAGAACAGUACUCCGCCUACUCAACCAAUUAAAGUCCAAAGCUCUAAACCCAAUUUUGACAUUGACGCUUUGGGAGAGUACUCAUCUCAGAAGUUGAGGAGAGAUCGUCAAAAUGGUGGUGAUGGAAUUCUCUCUUUCCGAGGUGUCUCAUUGGAGCAAGAAAGAUUUUCAGUACGGUGUGGACUCGAAGGCAUGUACAUUCCUGGAAAAAGAUGGAGGAAGAAGCUUGAAAUCAUUCAACCUGUAGAGAUUCGUUCCUUUGCUGCUGAUUGUAACACAGAUGACUUGAUUUGUGUUCAGAUAAAGGUGUGAAUCUGGAACGAGUGAUUCCUAGCACUGUAUAUAUUUGCUUUCACUUUGCUUAUACCUUAUUAACUUAUCUUGGUGUCCUGCAGAACAUUUCUCCAACACACCUUUCUGACAUAGUGGUGUACAUAGAUGCUAUAACAAUGGUUUUUAACGAGGCUCCAAAAGGUGGCCUACCUCUGUCCUUGCCAAUAGCAUGCAUUGAAGCUGGAGAUGAUCAUUGUUUACCAAAUCUUGUCCUCAGGUGCUUGCCCACUCUAGGUAUCUCUGUUUACUACUAUUGGUCUUUAAAAAGUUGUUGAUAAACUGGACGAAAAUGGAGUAAAUUUCAAUUCAGAAGUCUUUCUCGAGUCUAUAUCUGCUCACCACUUAUGAUUAUAUCGUCAAACCUGGCAGGAGAGGCGAGGAGCACUCUUUUAUCCUCAAACCAGCAUCAUCAAUGUGGAAGAGUCCCAAGGUUCACGGGAAAAGUACUUCGUUUUCAUCAGCUUUACAUUCUUCACAUCAUGCUGUUGAAAGGGGAAGUGGUAAUUCAAAUCCUGAUAUAUACGCUAUUAUGGUAUCUUGUCGCUGCAACUACACAGGUAUGCCACAUGUUAUUUCUUCGGUGUACUGAUUUGGAAUUGCUUUUCCUCAAAACGUCAAGUUAUUAGCAAAUAAUAACUUGUUUUUUGAACAUGACGCAGAGUCAAGACUGUUUUUCAAGCAGCCAACUGAUUGGCGACCACGUUUCUCAAGGGACCUUCUGAUUUCUGUCGCGCCCGAACUGUCACACUGGUCUUCUCCCUACGAGAGAGUCUCCCAUCUUCCAGUUCAGGUCUCUCCUUUCUCUUUGUUCUUAGCUAAUUCGGUGCUGUUUUCCUUCUUGAUAUGAACUCUUAACGUUUCCUGCUGUUGAAACAGGUCUUAACUCUUAGAGCCUCCAAUUUAACAGUUGAAGAUCUCAUUGUGACCCUUCGUUUUUUUGUUGUUUCAGAAUUGGUCUGGUGGGAGGAUGAAUUUUCUGAUACGGUCACCUAGUCGCCAUGUAACACCUGAGAAGGUUCCUCCUCCUGCUCAUGAACCUGUUAUGGACACACAGUACAUGGCAAAACCUACCAAGACUUUGGAAGGUCUUCUAACUGAGGAUCCAUUUCCCGAGUCUCCGAUUGCUGGAGUUCGCCAAGGAGGGACUGAUAAAUUUGAAGCUGAGAGUGGCAGUGAUGAUGUUAGUUCGGAUGUGGGGAGAGAUUCGUAUGUUGUUGAGGGGCACUCGGAUGUUUCUGAAGAAGAAGGAUGGAUCACCAUUCCACAUAGUACUUUGCCUCCCCUUAAUCCUGCAGUAACGAUGAUUGAUUGAUUGAAGUUUAGGAUGUUUGAUUUUUGCAUGUGAUGAGUAUAAUGUAAAAGUUGAAACUUGAAAGGUAUGCUUUCUCUGGUCCGUAAUUAUCUUGCUGUGUUUGCAGAGGAACUUCCUGAUGAUUGGACUUCUUUGCCAAAUAUAGAGUCACUACGUGCUAUGGACAGAUCAUUUGUCUUUCCUGGUAAUUAAAAUUUAACCCUGGACAAUUUGAUUGAUAUUAUGUUAGUUGGUAAAUUAAUUUGACAAGUUUACAUGAUAAUUUUUUAGGUGAACAAGUUCAUAUACUAGCCUGUGUAUCAGCAUCUAAUCAAGAUACAGAAACCAUUACUCCAUUCAAAGUCGCUGCCCUAAUGUCUAAAAGUGGUGUGGGACAAAGCCCCGAGAGACAAAAUGGAAAUGGAAAGGACAGAGAACCUGAUGAUGGAGAAAUGAGUUCGGGUGGUCAAGUUACGGGCCAAGAAGGGAACAACUCGGUGGAACAAAGGAGUGAUCCAAAGGAUGAUGUUUCUGCUGGUGAAUCCUUUCUUAGAAUGGAGGAUCACAAACGGCAAACUGAAACCUUGUUACAAAGAUUCAAGAACUCCCAUUUUUUUGUUCGGAUUGCAGAGUCAGAUGAGCCACUCUGGUCGAAGAAAGCUGGCCAAAACCGUCUGUUGGCUGACAUGGAUGAUCAGAUCUCCUUUGGAAGUGGAACUGGAAAGGUCAAAC